rnacentral:rRNA from 1 species
ACGGGAGGCAGCAGUGGGGAAUCUUGCGCAAUGGGCGAAAGCCUGACGCAGCGACGCCGCGUGGGGGAAGAAGGCCUUCGGGUUGUAAACCUCUUUCAGCAGGGACGAAGCCACUCGGGUUAAUAGCCCAGAGGGUGACGGUACCUGCAGAAGAAGCCCCGGCUAACUACGUGCCAGCAGCGCGGUAAUA